GACGAACGCUGGCGGCGUGCUUAACACAUGCAGUCGAGCGGUAAGGCCCUUUCGGGGGUACACGAGCGGCGAACGGGUGAGUAACACGUGGGUGACCUGCCCUCAGCUCUGGGAUAAGCCUGGGAAACCGGGUCUAAUACCGGAUAUGACUCCAUGACGCAUGUUGUGGGGUGGAAAGCCUUGUGCGGCUGAGGAUGGGCCCGCGGCCUAUCAGCUUGUUGGUGGGGUGAUGGCCUACCAAGGCGACGACGGGUAGCCGGCCUGAGAGGGCGACCGGCCACACUGGGACUGAGACACGGCCCAGACUCCUACGGGAGGCAGCAGUGGGGAAUCUUGCGCAAUGGGCGAAAGCCUGACGCAGCGACGCCGCGUGAGGGAUGACGGCC
rnacentral:rRNA from 1 species